CAGUAGCCGCGGGAAUACGUAGGUGGCAAGCGUUGUCCGGAAUUAUUGCGCGUAAAGCGCGCGCAGGCGGUUUCUUAAGUCUGAUGUGAAAGCCCCCGGCUUAACCGGGGAGGGUCAUUGGAAACUGGGAGACUUAGAGUGCAGAAGAGGAGAGUGGAAUUCCAUGUGUAGCGGUGAAAUGCGUAGAUAUAUGGAGGAACACCAGUGGCGAAGGCGACUCUCUGGUCUGUAACUGACGCUGAGGCGCGAAAGCGUGGGGAGCAAACAGGAUUAGAUACCCGUGUAGUCCCUGUCUCUUAUU
rnacentral:rRNA from 1 species